GGAGGGUUGGCAGAAUGGUAAUGCACUGGUUUCGAAAACCAGCGUCCGUAAGGACUUACAGGUUCGAGUCCUGUACCCUCCG
rnacentral:tRNA from 1 species